CCUACGGGGGGCAGCAGUGAGGAAUAUUGGUCAAUGGUCGGGAGACUGAACCAGCCAAGCCGCGUGAGGGAUGAAGGUACAGAGUAUCGUAAACCUCUUUUGUCAGGGAACAAAGGCGGGGACGCGUCCCCGGAUGAGUGUACCUGAAGAAAAAGCAUCGGCUAACUCCGUGCCAGCAGCCGCGGUAAUACGGAGGAUGCGAGCGUUAUCCGGAUUUAUCGGGUUUAAAGGGUGCGCAGGCGGUCUGUUAAGUCAGCGGUCAAAGCCCGGGGCUCAACCCCGGCCCGCCGUUGAAACUGGCAGUCUCGAGUUGGAGAGAAGUAUGCGGAAGGCGCGGUGUAGCGGUGAAAUGCAUAGAUAUCGCGCAGAACUCCGAUUGCGAAGGCAGCAUGCCGGCUCCACACUGACGCUGAGGCACGAAAGCGUGGGUAUCGAACAGGAUUAGAUACCCUGGUAGUC
rnacentral:rRNA from 1 species